rnacentral:tRNA from 1 species
GGGGAUAUAGCUCAGUUGGUAGGGUGUUUGUCUUGCAUGACAAGGCCCUGGGUUCAAUCCCCAGUACCCCG